GAAGGUAAGGUAAUACUUACUGGAGGUCCGAACCCACGCACGUUGAAAAGUGCGGGGAUGAGGUGUGGGUAGCGGAGAAAUUCCAAUCGAACUUGGAGAUAGCUGGUUCUCUCCGAAAUAGCUUUAGGGCUAGCCUCGAGGUAAAGAGUCAUGGAGGUAGAGCACUGUUUGGACUAGGGGCCCUUCUCGGGUUACCGAAUUCAGAUAAACUCCGAAUGCCAUGUACUUAUACUCGGGAGUCAGACUGCGAGUGAUAAGAUCCGUAGUCGAAAGGGAAACAGCCCAGACCACCAGUUAAGGUCCCCAAAUAUAUGUUAAGUGGAAAAGGAUGUGGGGUUGCUUAGACAACCAGGAUGUUGGCUUAGAAGCAGCCACCAUUGAAAGAGUGCGUAAUAGCUCACUGGUCGAGUGACCCCGCGCCGAAAAUGUACCGGGGCUAAACAUAUUACCGAAACUGUGGAUGAACCUCUUUAGAGGUUCGUGGUAGGAGAGCGUUCUAAGGGCGGUGAAGUCAGACCGGAAGGACUGGUGGAGCGCUUAGAAGUGAGAAUGCCGGUAUGAGUAGCGAAAGAAGGGUGAGAAUCCCUUCCACCGAAUAUCUAAGGUUUCCUGAGGAAGGCUCGUCCGCUCAGGGUUAGUCGGGACCUAAGCCGAGGCCGAUAGGCGUAGGCGAUGGACAACAGGUAGAGAUUCCUGUACCAGUGCUAAUUGUUUAACCGAUGGGGUGACACAGAAGGAUAGGGAAUCGCACGAAUGGAAAUGUGCGUCCAAGCAGUGAGUGUGAG
rnacentral:rRNA from 1 species